rnacentral:tRNA from 3 species
GGGCGGCUAGCUCAGGGGUAGAGCAUCGCAUUCACACUGCGGGGGUCGGGGGUUCGAAACCCUCGCCGCCCACCA